rnacentral:pre_miRNA from 1 species
CUGGUAUCAGAUAGGUGUAAUUUUUGUGUUUGUAUAGUACACGUUUCUGGAACCAAGCC